rnacentral:rRNA from 1 species
UACCGAGGUCUCAAGCGUUGUUCGGAUUCACUGGGCGUAAAGGGUGCGCCGGCGGCCCGGUGUGUGAGGCGUGAAAGCCCGGGGCUUAACCCCGGAAUUGCACCUCAAACUACUUGGCUAGAGCAUUGGAGAGGGGAGCAGAAUUCAUGGUGUAGCAGAGAAAUGCGUAGAUAUCAUGAGGAAUACCAGAGGCGAAGGCGGCUCCCUGGACAAUUGCUGACACUCAGGCACGAAAGCGUGGGGAGCAAAAGGG